UCAAAGCUAUGGCUUCUAUGUUCAAUAAUAUUUUUUGGUUUUUUCAAAUGCUCAAGUAAGGGUUUUGAACUCGAAAAAAUCGGCACCUAAGGCGAACCGAAUGAUUGUGGAGAAAUAUGCUACAUACGUCUGCGACUCUUUUUUUAAUACCCAAUACUCAGUCAGCGCGGCUCCCCUCCGCCUGAGAGAGCACACACUGCACGACGAAGAGUGUAUGCGAGAAAGGGAAUGAGUGAGCGCGUGGAAGGCCUUGAGUAGAUACUGCAAAUUAAUUUGUUCCUUCUGGAUAUAGUAAUAAUCCGAUCUUAUCCAGAUUUCUUAAUCUGUCAGAUAUGGUCAUUCUCUAUGAUUCUGCAUUUUUAGUUUUUCCGUAUUUUUAAAAUGUUGGAUGCCACUGAAUACACUUGUAACAUUGCGAUAUCACAAAAAUUAGAGACAAGGCAUUUUCCAGGCGGAAUCCGCAAGCUGAUCAAAAAGAUGGGAGGAAUUGAUGACUAACGAUGGAACACAUUUAUGUACUUGAAAGAAUAAAUGCAUAACCAUUUUUCGAA